GCAAGCGUUGUCCGGAAUUAUUGGGCGUAAAGAGCUCGUAGGCGGCUUGUCACGUCGGAUGUGAAAGCCCGGGGCUUAACCCCGGGUCUGCAUUCGAUACGGGCAGGCUAGAGUUCGGUAGGGGAGAUCGGAAUUCCUGGUGUAGCGGUGAAAUGCGCAGAUAUCAGGAGGAACACCGGUGGCGAAGGCGGAUCUCUGGGCCGAUACUGACGCUGAGGAGCGAAAGCGUGGGGAGCGAACAGG
rnacentral:rRNA from 1 species